rnacentral:lncRNA from 1 species
GCUCAAGGGGACAUGGGGGACAUGUGGGGACACACGGGAACAUGGAAAGACACUAUGGGGCUCAAUAAGACGUGGAGAACAUGGAGGACAUGUGGGGACACACCAUGGGGCUUGAGGGGACACGGGGGAUAUGUGGGGACACGUGGGGAUGUGGGGGCACACCAUGGGGCUCAAUAGGAUGUGGAGGACAUGUGGGGACACACCAUGGAGCUCAAGGGGACACGGGGGAUAUGUGGGGACACAUGGGGAUGUGGGGGCACACCAUGGGGCUCAAUGGGACGUGGAGGACACAGGGGGGCACAUGGGGACGUGGAGACACGCCAUGGGGUUUGACAGGGUGUGGGGAAUAUGCGGGGACAUGGGGACACACUGUGGGGCUUAAUGGCACAUGGAGACCCGGGGGACACGUGGGAACAUGGAGAAUAUUGGGGGGACCUGGAGGAACGCUAUAGGGCUUGAUGGGACGUGGGGGACGUGUGGGGACAUGGAGAACGUGCAGGACAAGGAGGCACGCCAUGGGGCGCGAUGGGAUGUGGGGGAUGUGUGGGGACACGCGAAGACAUGGAGAACGUGUAGGGCAUGGAGGCAAACCACGGGACUCGAUGGGAUGUGGGGGACAUGGAGGCACACCAUGGGGCUGGUUGGGACGCGGAGGAUACGUGGGGACACGGGGGGCGUGCUGUGGGGCUCAACAGGGCUUGGGGAGACACGGGGACACCUUGGGGGGGCUCGGAUGGGACGUGGAGGACACGUGGGGGCCGCGAGGACGCGCUGCGGGGCCCCGUGGGAUGUGAGUGGGCACGGGGGCGCGCCGGGGGGCUCCAUGGGAUGUGUGGGGCGGCGCUGUGGGGCCAGCUGAGCCGCCGCCGCCACCCCCCAGGUGCUGCACCUGGCGGAGCUGCUGAAGAGGGGCAUCGGGGUGCACCACAGCGGGGUGCUGCCCAUCCUCAAGGAGGUGGUGGAGAUGCUCUUCAGCAAGGGGCUGGUCAAGGUGCUCUUCGCCACCGAGACCUUCGCCAUGGGGGUGAACAUGCCGGCGCGCACCGUCGUCUUCGACUCCGUCCGCAAGCACGACGGCACCAACUUCCGCGACCUGCUGCCCGGUGAGCCGGGGGGCUGCCGGGGGGCCGCUGUGGGGCUGGGGCCGGCCGGGGGGCUGCCGUGGGGCUGCCAGGGGGC